rnacentral:pre_miRNA from 1 species
UUUAUACUCCCUCCAUCCGGAAAUACUUGUCGAAGGAGUGGACGUAUCUAGAUGUAUUUUAGUGUUAGAUACAUCCAUUUUUAGUCAUUUCUAUGACAAGUAUUUCCGGACGGAGGGAGUAUUAU